rnacentral:lncRNA from 1 species
CUCCAAAAUCCAGUGCUUCCCAUUAAUUUCUGACUUUUUUACAAGUUCACCUAAAUUUCUUCCCACUCGUUCCAACUCUUUUUCCACAUGAUCCAAUUCCCCUAUUUUAAUCUCAAAAACAAUCCAAUCCCUUCAAUUAUUUGUCUCUCAGAUCUCAAAGCAUACCAUUUAUAAUCGCACGGAUCCCAAAGCCUCAUCCCUUCUCAGCCGUGCGCAUCCAUUCCGGGUUCAACCCUAUCCACGGAGGAAUCCCAGCCAAGUCCCAGUAGCUCCCAACAACUCGAUCAAUCACAUCCGUUUCCUUUCAUCCGCAUGAGCCCGUGCGAUGAUCUCCCAGCAUUCCAGAUCAUUUCCCCCUGCCUCAAAACAGAACCCAUCUUCCCAGCAGUCCACCCGUGAUGCAUGCAAAAGGUUCCACGCAUCAAAGGUUUCUUUCCUUCCGGAUUCCACUGUGCUGAAACAGAGUCCCAGCGAUUUUUCCGUGAUCCACCUUCCUCGCAUCCGCGAUUCAAGGAUCAGCCUCCCAGUUCCCCUGUUGGAGUUCANNNNNNNNNNNNNNNNNNNNAGAGUCCCAGCGAUUUUUCCGUGAUCCACCUUCCUCGCAUCCGCGAUUCAAGGAUCAGCUCCCAGUUCCCCUGUUGGAGUUCAUCUUUAUCUCACGAAUCAACCAUGAACCAAAUCCAAACUCCCUUCAUCCAUGUGUUCCAGCCGUUCGUGAGAUUUCCCCCAACGUCAAGAUCAGAUCUCUUCCCGGUCAUGAAGGAAUCCCAGCAUCCCAUCAACCUCAUCUCUAUCCCGCGACCAGCCGGAUUCCCACGCUUCCUCUGUGCAUCUCAGCAUGAUCCAUCCUUAUCCACUGCUAACCGAGUCCCAAGCUUGAUCCCGUUCGUGAUGAUCAUCCAGGAUCCAUGACAGCAUCCCGAGCUUCACGGGUCACCUUUUAUCCAGCUUCUUCCGAAUCAUUCCGGAUCAUCCUUCCAGCGGAACAGAGGCCGAGUCUUCAUCCCAGAACAGUCGUAUCCUUCUUCCAAACCAAAUCCCGAGCCCGUCCCAGCCUCCCUCCGGAUCGCGUUCGUGAUCUAUCUUCAUCCCACGACUGCAUCAAAUCUCCUGCAUCUCGGAUUAUAGCUUAUCCCCUGCUUCGGAACCAACUCUCAACAUCUUCAUCUCCACCGCGUUGAACCAACAUCAUCCUCUUCCGGUUUGAUCCCAUGGAAUCUCCCAACGUCCAAGUUCAUCCAAGCUGCCAGCCGAAUCCAGUCGUUCCUAGCUCCAAAUCCGGCAUCAAAUCCAGAGCCUCAUCCUUAUCCUCCACUCGGAAAUAGGGAAGAGGAGAGAUCAAGGUUGCAGCCUAUAAAAGGCCCGAGCGUGAACAGAGGAGGAUUCAUUCCCCACCGGGGGCUGAUCCCAAGUUCUUCUCAGAGGCGAAAUCCCACAUAGUUCACCGGGAGAAGAAGAAGCUUGGGUUCACAAGCCGAAUCCCACAGAGCUAGGAGAGAGAAAUAUUUUGGGUAUUUUGGGAAUGACUUCCUAUAAGAGCUAAGAAGGAGCCGUUCUCAAGGAAAUCGCAAGAGGAAGAGAACAAAGAGAUGGAAGCCCGCUGCUGUGCCACUGCUGCUGUCGCCCACGACUCCAUGGAAGGCUGAUCUCCUCUCCAGGGCUGAAUGCAAUCCUAACAAAGGGACACGGGUUUUAUGUAUUUAAUUUUAUAUUCUUGGAGUUGUAUGAAUCCUCUUACCCUUAAAUGAAUAUUUUUCUUUCAUCUUAUAUUUAAUCUCUGUGACUUUAAAUAUGAUGUUCGUACAACUAUUUUUCAUGAUCCCUGAGUAAGUAUAAAGAUAAU